ACGAACGCUGGCGGCGUGCUUAACACAUGCAAGUCGCACGGAAAGGCCCUGCUUGCAGGGUACUCGAGUGGCGAACGGGUGAGUAACACGUGGGUGAUCUGCCCUGCACUUCGGGAUAAGCCUGGGAAACUGGGUCUAAUACCGGAUAGGAGCCAUUUUUAGUGUGAUGGUUGGAAAGUUUUUUCGGUGUAGGAUGAGCUCGCGGCCUAUCAGCUUGUUGGUGGGGUAAUGGCCUACCAAGGCGGCGACGGGUAGCCGGCCUGGGAGGGUGGACGGCCACAUUGGGACUGAGAUACGGCCCAGACUCCUACGGGAGGCAGCAGUGGGGAAUAUUGCACAAUGGGCGCAAGCCUGAUGCAGCGACGCCGCGUGGGGGAUGACGGCCUUCGGGUUGUAAACUCCUUUCGCUAGGGACGAAGCUUUUUGUGACGGUACCUAGAUAAGAAGCACCGGCUAACUACGUG
rnacentral:rRNA from 1 species